GCACCUCAACACCAUCAUUACGAAUCCAUGAACCAUUUGCCUCGAAUCAGCCUGGAACCUCUCGAAUCUCCAAUAAAAGGGUCCAACUAAACAUGAACAUCAUCCAUUCAAGCCCAAAUUAACUCCAUAGUACCCCCGGUCUUCCCCUAUCAGACCCCAUGGCCACUUGGCUUGAAUGUAACCGGAACAGGCUGAACACUCAUUUCAAGUCUUCGGGCAGAACCCUAGAUAAGUUCUUUCACAGUUCACCUUUCUUCCUUCUUAUUUUUGUCUUUUUUUCCAUGCAUUUGGUUGUCCAUGUUUAACACAAUUUCAGUAAUUAGGUUUUAGUUGUUGAUUUUAUGUGUUGAUUAGUUUUUCUGCUUUCAUUUUUUAAUCUUCUG
rnacentral:lncRNA from 1 species